UCAAUCGUCUUGUGUUUAAUCAACGCUUCUAACGUUUAAUUAAAAAAUCGCCGUCUCGGUUUUAAUGUAAAUAAAUUCACUCAGAUAAAUAUUAUUAAAAAAAAUAUCCCUAAGUGAAUAUUUUAUGAAUGCUGUCUUCGAAAAGUUUAAGAAUAGAAUUCUGUGAUAAAAUCUUGGCAGCAAUAGAUUAUUUUAAUCUUUUAAAUAAUCACAAACAAUUGAAAAUUGAUAAGAACUGUCAGCAAUUUGAUGUGUUUGAUCUAUGCAAAGAUUGCUUGAAUAUGUCUGCUUUACCUCAAGGAGCCUUUGCCGCUUGUAAAAUGCGCGAAUAUGAUCUGACUAUUUCACGACGUCGUACAAACGCUGAUAAUAAGGAAAUCGAAAAUUUAAGUGGCAACAAAAAACUUAUGGAAUAUAAUCCCUUUAAAUACAAUGAAAAGCUAAUGAAUUCUAUUUGGAGUAUUUACAAUCGCUAUUCGCCUCAUAACAUCAAAAACAACGUAUUUAAUGAUAAUGACUAUGAGCAGCAGUCAAAUACUUAACUAGAUGUUCCAAGUCGAUGAGAGCCUUGAGUUUAUCUGACUUAUUGGCAGCUAGCCGAGAAAGGUUCUGAAUCGAUUUAGAUUUAGUUUAGACCUCAGGUACGUUUGUCAUCGAUUAUUAGAAAUCCAUAGUCGAUUAAUGCCUUGACUUUAUCAGACUUGCUGGCAGCUGAUCGACGAGAAGGGUUGUGAGUGAAUUUAGUUUAACCUUCCCAUACGUUCGUCUUCGAUUAUUUAAAGCCUCGAUGAGAGCCUUGAUUUUAUCUAAGUUGCCAGCAGCUGGCCGAUGAGAAAGAAAGGGUCUGAGUCGAUUUAGUUUUGUUCUCCAGUACGUUUGUCAUCGAUUGUUGGAAAUCUCGUUGUUACAAGAAUUAAGAAAAAGCCAACAAAAUUGUCGAUUUUAGAUCGAAUUUGAGAACUGGAGGGCCUGCAAUGGCUAAACGAAUAUUAUUAUUAUCAAAUAACGAUUUUAAAUUUUGAUGCCGUUAUAUGUUCACUCUUCUAAUUAUGGAUGGCAGAAAUAUUGUUUACUUUUUACCAAUUUUUUAAAUAAUAUUUCCAGUGAGUUGUUAUAGUGGCUUCUGCCAUAGUUUGCUUUGCCGAUCCCAAAAUUAAUCUUAUUGUUUAUAAAUUAGAUUUAAAAUAUAUUUAACUAGACUUUUUUUUAUUAUUAUUAAUUGCAAUCCGUACUGUGACUCGGCCAUGUUCCUAUGCCUUCAAUUUUAUGGAUCUCGUCACCUUCUUUCCUUUGGAGGAUCAAGCCGCGUCUGGCGUUAUCAAGUGCUCGCCAAACACUUGGUACUUGAUUCUGCAGAUGGCCUCACAUUUCUACAAAAUAUGAGGGGACGCAUUACUCGUCCCCUGGCAGAAACUGCAUGGAUCGGUAUUGAAGAUACUCCUGUUUUCCCGGCUAUGGCGGAAGAUUUGAUGAAUCUUUUUGCUUACGGUUGUCCUGCACAGUGCUUCCAAUAGAUCGCUUCCUCCUAGUUCGUGUAGUUUAUGUGCUAUGGCGGAAGGUUUGAUGAACCUUUUUGCUUACGGUUGUCCUGCACAGUGCUUCCAAUGGCCAAAAGAUUUAUGACUUAUCGUGAUCCUUUGGUGCCUCCUUCUUUCACUUAUAUUACUUAAUGACUGCCUGUUCUCAGCCCAUUGCCUAUACUACAGCUGCGAUGGGCUCAGCCACGAUCAACGAUCAAACGAGUGCUAACGACAAU